rnacentral:tRNA from 3 species
GGCCCGAUGGUGAAGUAGAAACACGGGGCUCUGCAAAAGCUCUAUGCGCGGGUGCAAUUCCCGCUCGGGCCU